GACGAACGCUGGCGGCGUGCCUAAUACAUGCAAGUCGAGCGGACGGAUGGGAGCUUGCUCCCAGACCGUCAGCGGCGGACGGGUGAGUAACACGUGGGCAACCUGCCUGUAAGACUGGGAUAACUCCGGGAAACCGGGGCUAAUACCGGAUAACUCUUUCCCUCACAUGAGGGAAAGCUGAAAGAUGGCAUCUCGCUAUCACUUACAGAUGGGCCCGCGGCGCAUUAGCUAGUUGGUGAGGUAACGGCUCACCAAGGCGACGAUGCGUAGCCGACCUGAGAGGGUGAUCGGCCACACUGGGACUGAGACACGGCCCAGACUCCGACGGGGGGAAGCAGUAGGGAAUCUUCCGCGAUGGAGGAAAGUCUGACGGAGCAACGCCGCGUGAGUGAUGAAGGUGUUCGGAUCGUAAAACUCUGUUGUCAGGGAAGAACAAGUACCGGAGUAACUGCCGGGACCUUGACGGUACCUGAACAGAAAGCCACGGCUAACUACGUG
rnacentral:rRNA from 1 species